GAUGAACGCUGGCGGCGUGCCUAAUACAUGCAAGUAGAACGCUGAAGGAGGAGCUUGCUCUUCUGGAUGAGUUGCGAACGGGUGAGUAACGCGUAGGUAACCUGCCUGGUAGCGGGGGAUAACUAUUGGAAACGAUAGCUAAUACCGCAUGACAACAGUUAUUGCAUGAUAACUGUUUAAAAGGGGCAACUGCUCCACUACCAGAUGGACCUGCGUUGUAUUAGCUAGUUGGUGAGGUAACGGCGCACCAAGGCGACGAUACAUAGCCGACCGGAGAGGGGGAUCGGCCACACUGGGACGGUGACACGGCCCAGACGCCUACGGGAGGCAGCAGGAGGGAAUCGUCGGCAAGGGGCGGAAGACUGACCGAGAAACGCCGCGGGAGGGAAGAAGGGUGUCGGAUCGGAAAGGUCGGCUGUAAGAGAAGAACGAGUGUGAGAGUGGAAAGUUCACUCUGUGACGGUAUCUGACCAGAAAGGAACGGCUAACUACGUG
rnacentral:rRNA from 1 species